GCAUGGGGCUCUGCCAUAGUCUCAAAGUGGAAAGAGAUACAGUGGCUGGCACUGAGUGGUUGGAGCAAAGACCCUGAGUGCUUCGAAAAGGAGUGUCACACUCACUCAGGACAGGCAAGACAUCCUGAAUGAAAGCUAGGAGGUGUUGGUGAGAGAGGGGUGGAUGGGGCUGAGCUAGGAGUGGAUGGGGAGAGGGUGGUUCACUGGAACCUGCCUUAGAGCUACUGAUGAGACAGACUCACAAGGCUCGGCUUUGAGAUCUGUGGCGAUUUCUUGUCUGGACCUGAUGGUGCAGGAUGGGAGAGUGGCUGCCUGGGCUCAGCUGCUUCCUGCUUCUGCAUCUGUCUUUUCUCCUCCUUGUCACUGAGCGGAUACAUCUGGGGCAUUAAAGGACAGCUUGCAUUUGAAUCGCCCCGUCAGGUCCAAGCCCGGCUCUCCAAAGACCAACACCAUCCACCGGGACCAGAGCCGUGCGGUUCUGAGCAGGCCUUUUCCCUUCACGAGCUCCAGAUUCCUACGACCUGUUCUGCCUUCAACACAAGCACAAUCCUGGGCUGUGGGUUCCCGAGCAGGGCCUGGAAGAGGAGGCCACUGUCAGGUGCGACUUUGGGAAUGCCACUGCCUGUACCAGCGACCUUUUGUAUCCCAAGAAGUGAGGCAAACAUCAGCCAUCCUGUUCUCCCCUGGUGAUCCAGGGAGCCCUUGUCCUUCAGUGCAGAAGGCAAGACUUUCAACCAUGACUGGCAUGGCCAUGAAGGAGACAGGCUGGCCUCCAAAACAUUGAAAAUACCACUGGAAGACAGAUCGGGUAAGUAAGCCACAAGAAGAUGGGAUUCAGAGUCUGUGGGGUUGUAUGGUUUGUGUGUGUGUGUGUGCAUGUGCGUGUGUGUGUGUGUGUGUCUGUGUGUGUGUGUGUGUGUGUCUGUGUGUCUGUGUGCAUACAUAUAUAUUACACUGAUUUAAGGUGCAGAGGUAUGUACCACGGUGUGCAUGUGGAUGUCAGAAGCCAAUUUACAGGAGCUGGCAUCCUUCCACCAUGUUGGUCCUGAGGAUGAAACUGGGGUCAUCAGAUUUAGCGCCAAGCACCUCUGUCUGCUGAACCACCCAUGAUCCAAGAUCGAUUUCUUUCCAUACAAAUCCAAGCAGGGAAUCUGAGCUUGCUCCUGUUGUCUGGGUAGAUGCGUUCCAUUCGACUUCUUACCUACCGGGUUCUCCGUAGAGAAGAACUCAGAGAAGUAAAUACUUUAAGGUAGCAGAGCAAACCCAGACGCUUCUGCUGCGUGCCUGAGCUGGCAGAUUCUAGAACCAGAGUGGUGAUGUAGGGCUGGAGGUGGCCUCCCUCAGUCACUUAAGGGUGAUAAUUACCUGCUGUAAACAGCCUUGGUGUAAUUAAAGCUGGAGGCCCAGGGCUGAGACCGUUUCCACACAGAGAGCGUCAUCUGACAAAGCCCGGCUCAGCUGGCUCCAGGAGGCCAGUCUGCCUAAGCAGAGAAUUCAGCUCUGCCCCAGGGCCUGUGGCCAGAGGAAAGCAACGGGCUCUGGAGCCCAGGGAAGGCCUGCUUCUGAUUACAGGAGGAUGGCAGGUGCCAUGCUCACGUCCCAGGUAAGUUGACAGGCUCUGAUCACCCAACGCUGAGGCCUCAGGGAGUUGAUGGUACAAUUCUCCCUCUACCUGUUUACUGGGUGCACCUCGACUAAAUGUGGCCCCUCCCCCACAUCUUCAGAGUGGGACACUCUCCCAUGGUCUCCACUGCCUGCUGGAGAAUCAGAGAUAGCCUGCCUUCAUGAACCCUUCCUCUUCUUGACCUCCAAGAAGGGACCCACUGUACCUCAUGGUCCCGAACUCUCCCCAGAGCCCACAACCCAACACUGUCUCUCUGCCUCUCGGGACACCCAUGGUAUUAACAACCAAUGAACCUCUUACCCAGAGGACAAUCUUCCUCAGUCUACCCCCUGAACCUAAAACUCCUGACCCUACAAUAACCCCUCGGCCUGGACAGCGGGGACCAUGCCUCCAGCCAUUUAGAAGAUGCUCUGCUCCCCAACCCCGAUUAUGCUUGUCACUCCUCCCACAAGAGUACUCCUCUGUAUAAAGCUAAUCAGAUCAACUUCAGAGUCUCCAGGGUCUCUGGCCACAGGAUGGAACAUUCCAUGCUUGUGUGUGUUGGCAAGUCUGUCGCUGUGGCUUCUUUUUUUCCAGAACAGCCUCAGUUGUUUUUCAUUGCCCAUGUGCCUGCUGGAAGGUUUUAAUCCUUAAAUGUGGGCAAGACCCACAUUUUAAGGUGGUGAAGUAAGAAACCGCUCCCAACCCCUCCGCCCCACCCCCAUCCACCUCCACUUCUGUCACUCUGCUGGCUCCGCACUGUCAUCUGGCUCUGCAAUGGCUGGGUC